rnacentral:rRNA from 1 species
GGGUUGUGAGGUUAAGCGACUAAGCGUACACGGUGGAUGCCCUGGCAGUCAGAGGCGAUGAAGGGCGUGCUAAUCUGCGAUAAGCGCCGGUAAGGUGAUAUGAACCGUUAUAACCGGCGAUACCCGAAUGGGGAAACCCAGUGUGACUCGUCACACUAUCAUUAACUGAAUCCAUAGGUUAAUGAGGCGAACCGGGGGAACUGAAACAUCUAAGUACCCCGAGGAAAAGAAAUCAACCGAGAUUCCCCCAGUAGCGGCGAGCGAACGGGGAGGAGCCCAGAGCCUGAAUCAGCAUAUGUGUUAGUGGAAGCGUCUGGAAAGGCGCGCGAUACAGGGUGACAGCCCCGUACACAAAAGCGCAUGUGCUGUGAGCUCGAUGAGUAGGGCGGGACACGUGGUAUCCUGUCUGAAUAUGGGGGGACCAUCCUCCAAGGCUAAAUACUCCUGACUGACCGAUAGUGAACCAGUACCGUGAGGGAAAGGCGAAAAGAACCCCGGCGAGGGGAGUGAAAAAGAACCUGAAACCGUGUACGUACAAGCAGUGGGAGCCCCACCACUAAGCCAGUGGUGAACUCCACAUACGCAUCCUUUGCUGAGGAUACGGUUAACGGAGCGAAAGCGACGUUCAACCUCAAAAGAAGCAGAGGGGGCUUAGUGGUGGGGUGACUGCGUACCUUUUGUAUAAUGGGUCAGCGACUUAUAUUCUGUAGCAAGGUUAACCGAAUAGGGGAGCCGGAGGGAAACCGAGUCUUAAUUGGGCGUUAAGUUGCAGGGUAUAGACCCGAAACCCGGUGAUCUAGCCAUGGGCAGGUUGAAGGUUGGGUAACACUAACUGGAGGACCGAACCGACUAAUGUUGAAAAAUUAGCGGAUGACCUGUGGCUGGGGGUGAAAGGCCAAUCAAACCGGGAGAUAGCUGGUUCUCCCCGAAAGCUAUUUAGGUAGCGCCUCGUGAAUUCAUCUCCGGGGGUAGAGCACUGUUUCGGCUAGGGGGCCAUCCCGGCUUACCAACCCGAUGCAAACUGCGAAUACCGGAGAAUGUUAUCACGGGAGACACACGGCGGGUGCUAACGUCCGUCGUGAAGAGGGAAACAACCCAGACCGCCAGCUAAGGUCCCAAAGUCAUGGUUAAGUGGGAAACGAUGUGGGAAGGCCCAGACAGCCAGGAUGUUGGCUUAGAAGCAGCCAUCAUUUAAAGAAAGCGUAAUAGCUCACUGGUCGAGUCGGCCUGCGCGGAAGAUGUAACGGGGCUAAACCAUGCACCGAAGCUGCGGCAGCGACGCUUAUGCGUUGUUGGGUAGGGGAGCGUUCUGUAAGCCUGUGAAGGUGGCCUGUGAGGGUUGCUGGAGGUAUCAGAAGUGCGAAUGCUGACAUAAGUAACGAUAAAGCGGGUGAAAAGCCCGCUCGCCGGAAGACCAAGGGUUCCUGUCCAACGUUAAUCGGGGCAGGGUGAGUCGACCCCUAAGGCGAGGCCGAAAGGCGUAGUCGAUGGGAAACGGGUUAAUAUUCCCGUACUUGGUGUUACUGCGAAGGGGGGACGGAGAAGGCUAUGUUGGCCGGGCGACGGUUGUCCCGGUUUAAGCGUGUAGGUGUGUGUUCCAGGUAAAUCCGGUUCACUUUAACACUGAGGCGUGACGACGAGGCACUACGGUGCUGAAGCAACAAAUGCCCUGCUUCCAGGAAAAGCCUCUAAGCAUCAGGUAACACGAAAUCGUACCCCAAACCGACACAGGUGGUCAGGUAGAGAAUACCAAGGCGCUUGAGAGAACUCGGGUGAAGGAACUAGGCAAAAUGGUGCCGUAACUUCGGGAGAAGGCACGCUGACACGUAGGUGAAGUGAUUUACUCAUGGAGCUGAAGUCAGUCGAAGAUACCAGCUGGCUGCAACUGUUUAUUAAAAACACAGCACUGUGCAAACACGAAAGUGGACGUAUACGGUGUGACGCCUGCCCGGUGCCGGAAGGUUAAUUGAUGGGGUCAGCGCAAGCGAAGCUCCUGAUCGAAGCCCCGGUAAACGGCGGCCGUAACUAUAACGGUCCUAAGGUAGCGAAAUUCCUUGUCGGGUAAGUUCCGACCUGCACGAAUGGCGUAAUGAUGGCCAGGCUGUCUCCACCCGAGACUCAGUGAAAUUGAACUCGCUGUGAAGAUGCAGUGUACCCGCGGCAAGACGGAAAGACCCCGUGAACCUUUACUAUAGCUUGACACUGAACAUUGAGCCUUGAUGUGUAGGAUAGGUGGGAGGCUUUGAAGUGUGGACGCCAGUCUGCAUGGAGCCGGCCUUGAAAUACCACCCUUUAAUGUUUGAUGUUCUAACGUGGACCCGUGAUCCGGGUUGCGGACAGUGUCUGGUGGGUAGUUUGACUGGGGCGGUCUCCUCCUAAAGAGUAACGGAGGAGCACGAAGGUUGGCUAAUCCUGGUCGGACAUCAGGAGGUUAGUGCAAUGGCAUAAGCCAGCUUGACUGCGAGCGUGACGGCGCGAGCAGGUGCGAAAGCAGGUCAUAGUGAUCCGGUGGUUCUGAAUGGAAGGGCCAUCGCUCAACGGAUAAAAGGUACUCCGGGGAUAACAGGCUGAUACCGCCCAAGAGUUCAUAUCGACGGCGGUGUUUGGCACCUCGAUGUCGGCUCAUCACAUCCUGGGGCUGAAGUAGGUCCCAAGGGUAUGGCUGUUCGCCAUUUAAAGUGGUACGCGAGCUGGGUUUAGAACGUCGUGAGACAGUUCGGUCCCUAUCUGCCGUGGGCGCUGGAGAACUGAGGGGGGCUGCUCCUAGUACGAGAGGACCGGAGUGGACGCAUCACUGGUGUUCGGGUUGUCAUGCCAAUGGCACUGCCCGGUAGCUAAAUGCGGAAGAGAUAAGUGCUGAAAGCAUCUAAGCACGAAACUUGCCCCGAGAUGAGUUCUCCCUGAGACUUUAGGUCUCCUGAAGGAACGUUGAAGACGACGACGUUGAUAGGCCGGGUGUGUAAGCGCAGCGAUGCGUUGAGCUAACCGGUACUAAUGAACCGUGAGGCUUAACCUUACAACGCCGAAG